rnacentral:rRNA from 1 species
ACGGAAGGCAGCAGUGAGGAAUAUUGGUCAAUGGACGGAAGUCUGAACCAGCCAAGUCGCGUGAAGGAAGACGGUUCUAUGGAUUGUAAACUUCUUUUGCCUGAGGGUAAAAUGAGUCACGUGUGGCUUAUUGCAAGUAUCAGGUGAAUAAGCAUCGGCUAACUCCGUGCCAGCAGCCGCGGUAAUACGGAGGAUGCGAGCGUUAUCCGGAUUUAUUGGGUUUAAAGGGUGCGUAGGCGGGAUAUUAAGUCAGCGGUGAAAGUUUGCGGCUCAACCGUAAAAUUGCCGUUGAAACUGGUGUCCUUGAGUGUAAACGAGGUAGGCGGAAUGUGACGUGUAGCGGUGAAAUGCUUAGAUAUGUCACAGAACCCCGAUUGCGAAGGCAGCUUACCAGCAUACAACUGACGCUGAGGCACGAAAGCGUGGGUAUCAAACAGGAUUAGAUACCCUGGUA